ensembl:misc_RNA Y_RNA Y RNA
GGUUGGUCGGAAUUGAUAGCUCAUAGCCAGUUACAGAUUGAACCCCUUAUUCUACUCUUUUCCUCCUUUUCACUACAGCACUUGACUAGUCUAAA